CAGGCCCCGCCGCAGGUCUGCGCUCGCGUGGGCCCGGGUUCACUGGGGCACGGCUUCUGCGCAGUGUCUGCACCAGGGUACCGGCCCAGGCCCUGUGCGUACCAUUUCGAGGCACCUGACCCGGAACAACCUUCUUGCUUCCUGCGUGAGUUCCCUCCAAAACGGACUGGAAUCCACCCAGUCCCACCUCCUCUGCGAUUCUGCAGUCUCUGGACUACGGCUGUGCCCACACCACCAAGCACCUGGAGACCUGGACCUCAGAGCUCUGCAUUGGCCAGUGAGGAUAACCUGUUUUGCUUCCUGAAAAUAUCCCUCUCUUCUGAAAGCUUGUAGAAAACACUCAAUAAAUGUUUGUAAACUCAUAAUAAAUGAAUAGAUGUUUGGAUAAGCAGA